GGCCACUUCCUUUCUUCACUGCAGUCUCGCUGUCCCCAAGCUGCUCCUGCCUCAUGGCACCAACGGUGGUGGCCCUCAUCCUCGGUGAGUGACAAUGGGGACGUGGUGCCACAGGGGUUGGUGGCCCUGUGUGGGACCAGGACUGUGUCCCUUGCAGGUUGGUGGCUGGUGGCAGCGAGCAGAGCACAGCAAGUGCCCCGACCCUCCCUGUCGCUGCACCCCAGCAAGGGGGUGUCCCUCGCGAACAAUGUCACCCUGCGGUGCCACCUGCCCCACCUGGCUGCCUGGGUCUGGCUGUACCAGGAAGGAGGUUGGACAUACCGCAAUCUACAAGGAGAUUCUCUACAAGGAGAAGGAGAAUAACACUGCUGAGUUCUCCUUCAUUAAGACAACAUGGGAACACGCAGGGAUGUAUCGGUGCCAGUACCAUGUGUUGGUGCUGUUCGGGAACGUCGGAGACAAGUGACCCCGUGCAGCUGGUGCUGACAGGUGACGGCACUGGGGAUGGCUGGUGGUUCUGGACUGUUCUCACAGAGCCACAUCCCAUCCUUGUCCUCUCCCCACAUGCGGAUCACAGAUAUCCAUCUCCUUGCGUUUCCCUGAGCCCCGAUGAUCUCGUGGGCACGGGGACAAAAUUUACAGUCCACGUGGAGAUGGGGGCCAAUGUCACCAUUCAGUGUUGGAACACGGGCUAUAGGGGAACCAUCCUUCUACACAAGCAUGGGCACUCAGCCCCUGUCCAGCGUCAGGACUACAGUGGUGUGGGCACGGCCACCUUCAGCCUCUUUGCGCUGACCCUGAGUGACGCUGGCACCUAUGGAUGCUCCUAUCGCCCCAAGUCCCGCCCUUUUGCGUCCUCAGCCCUUGGGGACAGCAUGAUGCUGGAGGUGACACCCACAGCUGCACCCUCAGGUAGGCCAGAGCCCUUCCUGUGAGUGCCCGCAGUGUCACUGCAUCCCAAUGCCAUGGAGAUGGUGGUCAGGGAUGGGGACACCCAAACACCUGGACCCCACAGGUGCCAAAGGAAUUCCCCUGGGAACCUGGUGGUGUCGGUGGUGAGGGGCUGCGCUGCUGCCUUUGUCUUCAUCCUCGGCCUUUACUUUGUCCUGGAUGCACGUAGACUCAUGGUGUGGUGAGAUGAGAGUCCUGAUCCCCCUGCAGAACGCCUGAGGCCAUGCAGCUCCAGGUGAGUGUCUGGGACGGGGGACCCCAAAUCCCAGCCUGCACCUUGGGGCCGCAGGAUUCACCAUCAAGGAACCCCAGUACCACCCCACUGGGACCCCAAAGGAGCCCUCCUAUGGCUUCAGCUAACUUGAUCUGUGCCCCCUAGAUCCAGUCCACGUGCAAUCCCAGAUCUACACCACCCCCUUGGGCAUGCCCAUGCAUAUCUGUUUUGUAGGGUCCCCCAUUCAUCUUGUGGACACAUGUGGUGUCAUCCCCAUGUCCCCCUGUGGUCCCAGGUGCUCCUUGGUGAAAGCGAGGCUCUGAACUCUGCUGAGCUGUGACCUCCGACCCCUCAUGGUCCCCCACCACCUCCCAGCCUCCUGCUAUCUAUGCCGAGGUGGGUGCUGGAGGACCUCACUGACACCUCCUCAGUCCAGGUUCCUCACUUUGGGCAGACCCCACGUUCCCCUUCAGGGCAACUUGAUGCUGAGUUCCUUUUCACAAGCUCCUUCCACACAAACCCAAUACCCCAAAUCUAGCACCCCCAAAUCGUCACUGAUGAACUCUAAAUGAUUUCAAUCAAGAAAACUCUAAACGCACUGAACCCAAAAUGCUGCCCUCCCUCUGUUCUGCUUCUAGCAUCGCUUGGGAGGCGGUGAGCACUGCUUUGUGAGACAUUUCCUUAUAACUAUCUGCAGAUAAAUACACACAUAUAGACAUAUACUAUAACCAUUACUGUUAUUUCUCUCUUCCUGUUGUCGCGUGGCAAAUAGAUUUUAUCUUGACCCACAAGUUGUGGCUUUUUAUUCUGAGUCUCUCUGGGAUCCCACUGGGAGGGGACAGUGAGAAUAAAAGCUGUGUGGUGCUGAGCUGCUGCUGGGUGACAGCACCACAGUCCUUGUGGUGCCCCACGUGGGGCCUGAAGGGUGCAGACCCGCACAUCUGUGAGCAGAGCGUGUUCCAACACAACUGCUCUUAGUGGUACAGCAGCCUCAGAGCUGCUGCUCACAGCGCUGAGCUGUUCCUUCCCUCUGGGCCAUCCCAGCUCUCAGGGCUCUUUCCUUCCCUGCGCUGGCACUGCUUCUCCUCUCCGAGGGCUGUCCUGCAACUCUGCAUGCUUCUACCCUCUUGUCCAGUGAUUUUUAUUUUUUUUUUUCCUGGAUAUUUCAGCAGUGUUUUCGUUUCUUACUGCUUCCCCAGAAGCUCAGCAGUUCAUUGCCUGACGUACCCACUGAACCCAGAGGUGAAUUUCCACCUCAAGAGGCGCAAACUACGGCACCUAUCAACUUAUGUUAAAGGGAAAGGAUGCAGCAUGUGUGUAUCUGUAGUGGAAUUCCAGGGUCACAGCCUGAACCAAUGGGUGGGCUCUGUGAGUGUGUGAGUGCGGC